CCUACGGGAGGCAGCAGUAGGGAAUUUUCGUCAAUGGGCGCAAGCCUGAACGAGCGAUGCCGCGUGAGUGAAGAAGGCCUUCGGGUCGUAAAGCUCUGUUGCGGGGGAAAAAAGGCAGCAUCAGGAAAUGGGUGCUGACUGAUGGUGCCCCGCCAGAAAGUCACGGCUAACUACGUGCCAGCAGCCGCGGUAAUACGUAGGUGGCGAGCGUUAUCCGGAAGGAUUGGGCGUAAAGGGUGCGCAGGCGGUCCUGCAAGUCUGGAGUGAAACGCAUGAGCUCAACUCAUGCAUGGCUUUGGAAACUGGAGGACUGGAGAGCAGGAGAGGGCGGUGGAACUCCAUGUGUAGCGGGAAAAUGCGUAGAUAUAUGGAAGAACACCAGUGGCGAAGGCGGCCGCCUGGCCUGUUGCUGACGCUGAGGCACGAAAGCGUGGGGAGCAAAUAGGAUUAGAUACCCCUGUAGUC
rnacentral:rRNA from 1 species